UUUUAUUUAGUGUAUAAACACAUUAUUUUUUCAAGAUAAAAAUAGAAUUAAAUCUAAUUAAAU
rnacentral:tRNA from 1 species